rnacentral:lncRNA from 1 species
UUUCGGGUCCAUCGAGGACUGGCGCCCGAAACCCUUGAAACUGUUUCUCAAUGAACCAGUAGAGAAUUGGCGAGAUAUCCCUCGCUUCAAUUGACCUGCGAUCUCCAUUUCUUGAAACCAGAAUCCUCAAGAUAAGAGAGAAGAAAGCUAACCAGAACUGGGGAUAAGCAUUGCAAUGGAGAAUGUGAGAAAACCCUUUUUUGAUGGAGUUCAAGGUUGUGGUACUCAAAAUCCUGACAAACUUUUUUUUCCAAUCAAAAUUGUGGGGUUAGAUCUCUUGUAAGCCCUAACUUUGAUAAGACUUUAGGUUAGGAUAACAGGAUGUCAGUUGAAUCCUGUUCUUUAAUGCAGUUAUAGAUCGAAUCAGUACCAAAAUUGAUUUUGCGAUCACAAUUCACAAAGACCUAACUAAUAGAAAACAAAUUUCACAGAAAACCCCAUUCUGGUUUAAGUUAUCCAAAAAUUUCCUCUAGUUUCAAUCCAGAUUCCAGUUCACCUCAACCAAAGUACCACCUGAUCCAAUUGAGAGCUGUCAAGCAAAUAUCAAAACACUAAUUCCUCUCAAUUUCCACAAUUUCACUACAACAAUAUCUACAAUACCACCUCUUCCAGAUCCAAACAAGAAAUCACCUCAAAUUUUUAGAGAAAAACCGUUCGUAUAUCCAAAUUCUGAUUCAAACCAAAACCACCUCCUCCAAACCAGAAACUAGGCCCAAUCCCUGAGCAUAUCACCCUUUUCAGAAGUCCAAAUCAAGGCCAAACCAUAGAAACCUCAAUCAAGAAGCCUGAUCAAUACACAAGGAUUUGAGCACAAAAGUUUCUCUCUGUGCAUCUGGAACUAGGGUUAGGGCAAUGGAGGAAAGGGGGAUUGCUCAGGAUCCCAGUGAGAGAUCCUUUCCCUCUUCCCAAUGAAAAAAUUAGGGUUAGGCCAUGGAUGGAUAUUAUUAGGUUUUGAAAAUGGAGGAGAGAAAAUGGUGGGAAAGGAGUAGGAGUAAUUUGUGGUUGAAACUGUGUUUUGCAUUGAAAAUACCAAGUGGGAUUUUUUUAUUGGUAACAUUAAAUGAUUG